rnacentral:rRNA from 1 species
GCAGUCGAGCGGAAGGCCCUUUCGGGGGUACUCGAGCGGCGAACGGGUGAGUAACACGUGAGUAAUCUGCCCUGCGCUCUGGGAUAGCCACCGGAAACGGUGAUUAAUACCGGAUAGGACCACUACAGGCAUCUGUUGGUGGUGGAAAGUUUUUUCGGCGCAGGAUGUGCUCGCGGCCUAUCAGCUUGUUGGUGAGGUAAUGGCUCACCAAGGCUUUGACGGGUAGCCGGCCUGAGAGGGUGACCGGUCACACUGGGACUGAGACACGGCCCAGACUCCUACGGGAGGCAGCAGUGGGGAAUAUUGGACAAUGGGCGGAAGCCUGAUCCAGCAACGCCGCGUGAGGGAUGACGGCCUUCGGGUUGUAAACCUCUUUCAGUACCGACGAAGCGAGAGUGACGGUAGGUACAGAAGAAGGACCGGCCAACUACGUGCCAGCAGCCGCGGUAAUACGUAGGGUCCGAGCGUUGUCCGGAAUUAUUGGGCGUAAAGGGCUCGUAGGCGGUUUGUCGCGUCGGGAGUGAAAACACCGGGCUUAACUCGGUGCUUGCUUUCGAUACGGGCAGACUAGAGGUAUGCAGGGGAGAAUGGAAUUCCUGGUGUAGCGGUGAAAUGCGCAGAUAUCAGGAGGAACACCGGUGGCGAAGGCGGUUCUCUGGGCAUUACCUGACGCUGAGGAGCGAAAGUGUGGGGAGCGAACAG